rnacentral:rRNA from 1 species
AGAGUUUGAUCCUGGCUCAGAUUGAACGCUGGCGGCAGGCUUAACACAUGCAAGUCGAGCGGUAACAGGGGUAGCUUGCUACCCGCUGACGAGCGGCGGACGGGUGAGUAAUGCUUGGGAAGCUGCCCGAUAGAGGGGGAUAACAGUUGGAAACGACUGCUAAUACCGCAUAACCUCUUCGGAGCAAAGCGGGGGACCUUCGGGCCUCGCGCUAUCGGAUGCGCCCAAGUGGGAUUAGCUAGUUGGUGAGGUAAUGGCUCACCAAGGCGACGAUCCCUAGCUGGUCUGAGAGGAUGAUCAGCCACACUGGGACUGAGACACGGCCCAGACUCCUACGGGAGGCAGCAGUGGGGAAUAUUGCACAAUGGGCGAAAGCCUGAUGCAGCCAUGCCGCGUGUGUGAAGAAGGCCUUCGGGUUGUAAAGCACUUUCAGCGAGGAGGAAAGGGUGAGUCUUAAUACGGCUCAUCUGUGACGUUACUCGCAGAAGAAGCACCGGCUAACUCCGUGCCAGCAGCCGCGGUUAAUACGGAGGUGCGAGCGUUAAUCGGAAUUACUGGGCGUAAAGCGCAUGCAGGCGGCUGAUUAAGCCAGAUGUGAAAGCCCGGGCUUAACCUCGGAAUUGCAUUUGAACUGGUCAGCUAGAGUCUGAAAGGUGGUAAAUUCAGGGUUAUUCGGUACGUAAUCGUAGAUUGAGAUCCGGGGAAGCGCCCUGCAAUAAUGACGUAAUGGAAGCUGGGGCAACAGAUUAAUCCCUGUUUCACGCGUAACGAGUCUACUGAUUGUUUGAACAUGGCUCCAAGCUACGCAUAAGUAGACCCCUGGGGAGUACGCCGCAGGUUAAACUCAAAUGAAUUGACGGGGGCCCGCACAAGCGGUGGAGCAUGUGGUUUAAUUCGAUGCAACGCGAAGAACCUUACCUACUCUUGACAUCCAGUGAUUUGGCAGAGAUGCCUUAGUGCCUUCGGGAACACUGAGACAGGUGCUGCAUGGCUGUCGUCAGCUCGUGUUGUGAAAUGUUGGGUUAAGUCCCGCAACGAGCGCAACCCCUAUCCUUAGUUGCCAGCACGUUAUGGUGGGAACUCUAGGGAGACUGCCGGUGAUAAACCGGAGGAAGGUGGGGACGACGUCAAGUCAUCAUGGCCCUUACGAGUAGGGCUACACACGUGCUACAAUGGCGCAUACAAAGGGCGGCUAACCAGCAAUGGUACGCGAAUCCCAUAAAGUGCGUCGUAGUCCGGAUUGGGGUCUGCAACUCGACCCCAUGAAGUCGGAAUCGCUAGUAAUCGUGGAUCAGAAUGCCACGGUGAAUACGUUCCCGGGCCUUGUACACACCGCCCGUCACACCAUGGGAGUGGGCUGCAAAAGAAGUGGGUAGUUUAACCUUCGGGAGGACGCUCACCACUUUGUGGUUCAUGACUGGGGUGAAGUCGUAACAAGGUAGCCGUA